CACUAUCGUUAACUGAAUACAUAGGUUAACGAGGCGAACCGGGGGAACUGAAACAUCUAAGUACCCCGAGGAAAAGAAAUCAACCGAGAUUCCCCCAGUAGCGGCGAGCGAACGGGGAGCAGCCCAGAGUCUGAAUCAGCUUGUGUGUUAGUGGAAGCGUCUGGAAAGUCGCACGGUACAGGGUGACAGUCCCGUACACGAAAAUGCACAGGUUGUGAACUCGAAGAGUAGGGCGGGACACGUGGUAUCCUGUCUGAAUAUGGGGGGACCAUCCUCCAAGGCUAAAUACUCCUGACUGACCGAUAG
rnacentral:rRNA from 1 species